rnacentral:rRNA from 1 species
UGGGGAAUAUUGCACAAUGGAGGGAACUCUGAUGCAGCGACGCCGCGUGAACGAAGAAGGCUUUCGAGUCGUAAAGUUCUGUUGCAGGGGAAGAUAAUGACGGUACCCUGUGAGGAAGCCCCGGCUAACUACGUGCCAGCAGCCGCGGUAAUACGUAGGGGGCUAGCGUUAUCCGGAUUUACUGGGCGUAAAGGGUGCGUAGGUGGUCUUUCAAGUCGGUGGUUAAAGGCUACGGCUCAACCGUAGUUAGCCUCCGAAACUGGAAGACUUGAGUGCAGGAGAGGAAAGUGGAAUUCCCAGUGUAGCGGUGAAAUGCGUAGAUAUUGGGAGGAACACCAGUAGCGAAGGCGGCUUUCUGGACUGCAACUGACACUGAGGCACGAAAGCGUGGGUAGCAAACAGG